rnacentral:tRNA from 1 species
GGGGCUGUAGCUCAGCGGCAGAGCACUUAUCUAGCAUGUAUGAGGCACUGGGUUCCAUCCUCAGCACCA